rnacentral:sRNA from 1 species
CUCAACUCUGCCUCCCGCAUGCUGGGAUUAAAGGCGCGUGCCCACUGCCCCACCCCCUGCCUGCCUAAGAAUGGCUUUUCAACAAAGCUGUUCGUCCUUUCCAGUGGCCACUGUUCCACAGUUCAAGUCCCAUAAUUCAAGCCCCACAGUUCAAGAGCGUUGUUUAGUCCGCAGUAGGGAAGGCAAAGAAGUCAGCAAAAUCCCACCUAAGGGCGCCCAGCCGUAGGAACACCUCCAACGCAUGACUGAUGAAAAGGUGGAUAAGGAAAACCGGUCGGUGCUAUCAUCCGCAGCACCCACUCCUUCGGGCUCAGCUACCAACAGUUCUUCAACAGAGACGUUUCAGAAAGCCACUGUGCCGUUGCCCUGCACCAUAAACUCAGGAGACGCCCCCUUCCUUCCCUUAUCUCCUGCAGCCUCGCCUCUGAGCAGCUAUGGCUCCGCGAACAUCAUGGAUACACUCAGAAGAGCGAUAACGCACGGGCUCUCGUUCUCAGUGAUAACCACGGCCCGUUCCGCUUUCUGUUCUCAUGCUCAACCAAAUAGCCUCCAGCCUGGGAGAUGUAUCAGUUUAUUACAGGCCCUAACUUUGAAACUUACAAAUAUGAGUCAAACCAGAGGGACUGAGAAACAAAGGAACACUGUGUAAACCCAGCAAGCCUGAGUUAAAAUAUAUAUAUUCAAUAUUUAAUAAAUAAAUUAUAUUUAUAUAUUUAAUAUAUAUCUUUUGACCAAAUUAGCAACAGACAUUUCAUCUCCCAGAUCAGUGCGUUCAUUUACUUCAGGACUGGCUUACAGUGCACCUCUGUCAUCUACUGACCCUCUCCACACACUACUACACACCGCUGUGUAUGUCUGGCACCACCAGAGAGCAGGCAUUGAACUAUGUAUGAGCCAGAAGCAGACCGCCGUAGCUGGCUCCAGCCACUUCCGUCAUUGAUAUCCUUGGGCAAUUUCUCUGAAACUCUGAACGCAAUUUUCUGCACGAGGUUGCUACGAUGCCAGAGACAGGUGAAGCUAAGAAAGCUUCCGGGUCUAACCAAUGCAUGAGCACACACCUAAUUUUGAAUUCCAAUUUCGUGUCCUUUUCUUAAGGGAAAGUCCCCAAUUUUAAUAAGCUUGAAGGCCCAGAAAACAUGAUUCUGUCUCCUAAUAACACCUGUUCUAUUUCAUUCUGGGAGCCAGGAUAGAAACAGCCUCUCUUUGGCUCCAACGUUGCUCUGUAGCCCGUGCUGAUACCAUGUAAUAGGUGAGCCUUAUUGGUGUCCCUGUAAGCCCCUUGAAGUACGUGAGCCCCCACCCCAGGGCUCAACUGCCAGGUUCUACUCACAGAACACUCCAACUGCCCUAACGGCUGGACCCAGCCCCUGCCCUACAGAGUAAAAAACCCAAACUCAGGAUUUGACAUUCCAUCCAUCCAGGAGCUCAUCCCAAGCCCUAGACUUGAAACCCCACCAUUCCCCACCUUGGAGAUCUCCACCCUAGAAAGCCCCUACCCUCAAGAAAUCCUAUAUAAGCCCUGCCUGCUACUCAGCUCUCUGCUGGUUCUCACCCGAGCAGAGGCAGCCACCCUCCUGGGUGUGGCUUUGUGGUAGUCCUUGGUUCUCGACUGCCAUCGACCUUUCCCCGAAGAGCAGUGGCACUCUCAAUCCCCCUUGAGUGUCUGCAAAGAGCUCACACUUGGUUCCUUCUCUAGACAACUGACCUUGGCUACACAGUAGACCUUGUCUUAAAGUUUACACUACAACCCCCACUGAAGACAGUUAUCCAGUCUGGUGUUGGGGGUGGCCCUCUGUACAAAAUGCCACCAGAGGACCAACACAGUGAUACUCAGACCAAAGCUAGGCUCCCUCUGCAGUCAUAGCCAUGCACAGCUCCUCCCCCUGUCCAAUCUUCUUCCCCCUUCUUCCCACAUGUCCCCCUCAGACAACGUGCCUGGAUUCCUACCCGGGACAGCUUUUGGAGAAUCCAAUCUCAGACAGAACGUGAUCAGAUCAGAAGAAAUCGGCUACUUUCUGUAUCGAAGGUUGCCUAGGCCACUCUUCAGUCAAAUGCCAUGAGCCUCAAAUACCACUCACAGCCAAUGUUAACACAGAAGCAAAUCAAAGCUUCGCCAGCAAGCCGUGAAGAUGCAAAUCCAAGCCUGGGGUAUCGUUCAAGGAAGCAAAGAGCAGACAGGUCUCGGUAGCGUAGGCUAGCCCCUGCCUGUGGAAUGGACUAUGUGUCGAAGAUGAUCUUGAACCUCUUGUUCUCCUGCCUCAGCCUCUCGUAUACUGAGUUCCAAGCACAUGACGGCAUGACCAGGGAGUCAAAGUUCUUUCCUGAAGUCUCCCUCUUUCCUUUCUCGUUUCAGCUCAACUCCUUCCUCGUAAGUCCCUCUCCCAAUCCAGAAGAGAUGGCUCCCCGGACUGGUGAUUCUAGUCAUUUGACAAUUCAUGGAUGGGAGGGGUGGCUCUGUUGGUAAAGCACUCCCCUUGCAAGCAACAGCCCGAGUCUGAUAUGAUCUCCAGUCUGAUAUGAAAGGGUUAAUUAAUACUUAUCAGCUUAAUGUGGGGUCUGGGGUGGGAGACAAGCCGAUUCCGUGUCAUUAAGAGGCAUUGCCUCCAGGGGUUGGGGAUU